GUGAAUCAUCGAAUCUUUGAACGCACAUUGCACCCUCUGGUAUUCCGGGGGGUAUGCCUGUUCGAGCGUCAUUACAACUCUCAAGCUCUGCUUGGUAUUGGGUGUCACUUCGCGAUUGUGGUGCACCUCAAAAUCAGUGGCAGUGCCAUCUAGCCUCGAGCGUAGUAAACUUUCUCGCUUUGGAGGUCUCUGAUGCGUGCUUGCCAAUAACCAAAUUUUUAUGGUUGACCUCGGAUCAGGUAGGGAUACCCGCUGAACUUAAGCAUAUCAAUAAGCGGAGGA
rnacentral:misc_RNA from 1 species